CCCUCUCCAUCUACUCUCCAUCCCACCUCCCGCCCCCAUCCUACGUGUCCCUGGGCUGCCUUUUCCCUCUCCUCUCUCUGUCCUUUUCUGUCCCUUUCUCCGCCCCUACCUCUUUCUAGGUUCCCGCCCCUCUCCCUGGCUCCCUUCCCCCCAUAAACUUCCUUUUGUACUAGGCCUGUCACAUGAUGGUGAUUACUCGUGGAGAGGCAUCGGCACGGCCCGCUGAGGGCAUACGUGCUGCGGGAGCUUCCUGAGAAUCCGGAUAUGCAAAGUCUUGCCCGUCUGAGGGUAGCUAAUGCUCGGUUACAGCUCGGUUCAAUCUGGAAUCUGCCAGAUGCUUCUGGCUGCGCUCUCCCUCAUUGCUAGACUAAAAACCAUCUAGACCACACCUAGGGACAGUCAUGUCUUCAUUUUGUAUUCACGUCUAACGUUCAAUUGGUGUGACUGGGGCAGCCUGAUUUAAAGAGCAAACGAGGACAACAUCAAACCUCCAGGCCCACGGUAUCCAGCAGAGACUAGAGACUCGCAAGGACAGCCUCAAAGAACCAAUCAGGGGAGGUGGGCGGUUCUCGGCUGAGACCUUUCUCCCGGGAUGUUUCUGCUUUCCGGUUCCCACUGCAGACAUUUUUUAAAACACUUGUAAUAAACAAUAACGUCCAGGAAAGUCUGUCCUGAACGAUGUAAUGGUUUCACUACCCUUAGCUGUCCCUUCUUGUACCCUGGGACUCUCUCUGGAACAUGUUUUGUUCUAUGCCCAGCACAGACCCAGUAUGCACCUGAAAUAGAUUCCCUGAGCCAUGCAUCCAAAAUUAUUAUUUACAAAAGUCCAGCAAUAUUGUCAAACAGAAGCUCCAUUUGUAGUGAUCCCAUUGGGCAGGUGCAUGGUGUCUACAAGUCUUUGGUGGCCAGGACACCCUUGAGGCCAGGAUAAAUCCAUAAGCUCUGGUACAGAAAGGGAUUCAGAGUCCCCAACUGUCACCUUACUUAAUAGGCUCAGAAUACAAACUCCCUAAGGGCCUGUCUUCAAUGUCCUCUCAGGACUUCAGUUUCCCUCCAUCUUCCUCCACCAACCCUCUCCUCUGACUCUUGCUGUGUCCCCCUCCCCCACCGCUCAGCAAGCGGCUUCCUGCACCAGCACCCUGUUUUGUUAGUGAUAUCUGUGUCUGCUUCUAACAGCUGGCCCCAGCCUGGCAGCCCCUAGCUCUGAAGAUUAUCCAAUUAUCCCAUUAGCCCAGCAUGUCCUUCCUUCCUCUGAGCUUUUAGCUCCCCCUCCUCCCUCUCCCUUUCCCGGGGCUCCUCGCAGCCUCCUUACUAUUUCCUUAGCCAGUCCUAAAGCCGAGUCAACCUCCCCAGCUAUAAGGGACGCACAUGUCCACCCAUCAGUCUGCUUCAUUGUGUAAGGAAGGAAUAUUACUCUCAAAGCCAGAGUCACAUGACCAGUUAAUGGCAGCAGAGAACUAACACCUAGAGCUCUGGCCAUCAUAGCUAUGCUUUCGGCUUUCUUCACCACGUGCGUGACCUGUCUCACCAAGCGCAUGCGCGACAUGUCCCGUCCAGCGCAUGCGUGAAGUGUCCCAUCAAGCGCCCAUUGGGGUUGCCUCUCCCAUGAAUGAGAUACUUCUAUGAAUAAAGUAGCGCAGAGCCACAGAAGAGGUAGAACCAAGGAGGUGCAGAAUCGUGGGAGCUGCAGGCAGUUGUGUCAGUGGCAGAGGUGAAGCCACGGAAAAAAAAACGUGGCUGGAGGACCUAGCAGUGGAGCGAGUGGCAGCUUCAAUAUCAGCACUCAAAAUAGGGCCGUGCAAAAACAAGCUAAAGUCAAGAAGUGGGGAGGAGGCAAAGGAUGUGAGCUACUCCUGUGCAGGAAAGGGGUGUCCCCACCAAAUGCAGUAGAUUUGCACGCAGAGUGCGGGCUGUGUUUAUAUCGAUCUUGGUCCUGCUAGGUCACUAGGGGGAAAUGAGCUACUUCCGGUCAGGCUUUCAAGGACAUCUAGAGUUCAGUGAGUCUUAAGAUGGCAAAAGGUACGGACGGACGAGACUGGGGCUCUACCUUCCAAGGGCUGAGUUAGGCUUCAGCAGUCAGCAGCUGUCAGCACCUGACAGUUUCCUCAAGCCUUCUGUGCGAGCCUAUGGGGAAUCUGAUUGGCUGCUGAUUGACCCAUACCUCGUACAAGGCCGUUAGGAUACCAGGGAAGGGCAGCUGUUAGAUGAGGAGUCAAACUGUCCCGGCCUUCAACAUCUUUGCUUAUCUACAGGACAAAUACACUUCAGGAGGGAAUGCUUGACGGAAUUCUCCCUAAGAGAUUUUUAACAGUGAGGAACAGUGCUUCGUAAAAACAGGACUAGCGUCCUUUCUCAUCUGUGGGUUUCUGGAGAGUGAGUUGGCUGGGCUGAGGUAUAUCUCCGUGGCAAUGGGCUUGUCUCUCCUCUACGAGGCUGCCUUUACCUUUGCCAUUUGUUUCUUUUUCUUUUUCUUUUUCUUUUUUUUUUUUUUUUGGUUUAUAAAGAUUUGUCUUGGGGGCUGGCGAGAGAGAUGAUGGCUCAGUGGUUAAGGGCACUGGCUCCUUUUCCGGAGGUCCUGAGUUCAAAUCCCAACAACCACAUGGCACCUUUUUUUUUUUUUUUUUUUUUUUCCCGGAGCUGGGGACCGAACCCAGGGCCUUGCGUUUGCUAGGCAAGCGCUCUACCACUGAGCUAAAUCCCCAACCCCACAUGGCACCUCUUAACUAUAAUGUGAUCUCAUGCCCUCUUCUGGCAUGCAAAUGGACAUGCAGACAGGAUACUCAUAGAUAUAAAAAUAAAAGACUCAUUUUGGGGGCUGUAAUUCCAGUUAGCUGGGAUACAGGAAGUCCCUGGUUCAGUCUCCUUUGGGGGAUGCUGUGUUGUUUGUUCAGUAUAAUUUGGCCAACCUAACUUUACUGCAGAUGCCAACAAUUAGGUUGUCAGACAAGAGCUUUACCUCAGUAGCACGGGCAUGUGGUUAAUACAAACAGGACCGUCACUGGUCUGAUCCUCCAGCAUCGAAAUAAAGGACUUUGAAAGCUGCUUGCUAAAGCCUCAUCUGUCUCGAGAGCUUGUUUGGAGGUUCUAGCAGGAGAGCUCAGCUACUCCUACACCCUUGGCCGAAGACAGCUUCUCCUCCAUUAAGGGAAGGUCGCCCUCUUUGACUGAGCAUGCGCUUUGCGAGGGGUAUGCAUGGAGCGGGCGGGGGAGGGAGGAUGGGGACCUAGGAUGAUUCCUAGCCAGCCGUAUCAACGGAAUCAACCCUGGUGGUCGAUGAGGUGACAGAGGUGGCUGCCAGAUGGCCCCCACAUCGAAGCCUCAGCUACCUAUGAGAGCAAGGUGGGAAUAUGGAGAAGUCAGAAGCCUUCAUCCAAGAUGGCGCCCGCACCUGCACACUACAGCUGAUGGAACCCGGACCAAUGCCGUUCUUCCCCGAGCAUCUCCCCUGUGACGUCAUCAACGGCCAUGUAAAAUCUCCUUCCCUAGGCUCAUCCCACAAAUGUUUACUGAAUAUCUACAUGUUUCAGGCAGAAAACCAGCCCCUACCCACCCCUCUGUAGGAUCUGCUUCCCUGGUAUGACCAUUCUUUUCUGGACAACGACAGGAGUGGAUAAUCCAAUAAUGCGUGGUGUCUCAUCUCAGUACUUCUGUGUUAGGCACGCUAGUAUAUUAAGACGCUGAAAGGCCUUACCAGAACGUUCACCACAUCUACAGUGGUGGAUCUAACACAUACUGGGAUCUGAGGGCCACCGUUUCUACAGCACAGAGGAUUAAGGACGGCAGUGUAAACGUGGUCUGGCAAUUCCACUGGACUUUGUCAUCCAAGGUGCUAUUCGGGGACACCUAUCGCUGACAUGGGUUGUUUAUGUAGUUUAGUUGCUGGGCAACAAGGCUGCCUUCUCUGAUGGGAACAGGAAGGGUGGGACUAUGAAGUACCACCUCCCAUCCCUGACACUCUCUUCAACUACAGUUUGAAGCUCAGAAAUCUACACAUAACUACUGUCUAUGUGGUUGCAGGUCAGCGAUGGGACUUAGAAAGCCACCGAGGAAUGUGACAGGCAAGACAAGACCUGGAUUUUGUAUUUGGGUUUAAAACCCCCGGAGCAGGGAGACACUAGGUACCCGCAGUUCUCAGCGCUGGACAGUGCAUGUGAGGCGAACGAGAUGAUGCAGCCUUGGAUGCUCAUGGAGAAGCUGUUCUACACAGUUGUAGCUUUAUAACCGUCAUGGACUGAAGGCUGGCUCCCGUUCUAGAAGCCUCAUCCCAGGAAGCAGACUGCUCUUCCAGAGACUGCUACAGCAUGUCAUUGCCCUCCCCACCCUUGAAAGUUAGAAGCUUGGGCAAUUCUUGGCCAAGGAAGGAAAAGACAAGCAUUUUCAGUAAAGCUGCCAUGGACGUAA